UGGGGAAUAUUGCGCAAUGGGGGGAACCCUGACGCAGCCAUGCCGCGUGAAUGAAGAAGGCCUUCGGGUUGUAAAGUUCUUUCGGUAUUGAGGAAGGUUGAUGUGUUAAUAGCACAUCAAAUUGACGUUAAAUACAGAAGAAGCACCGGCUAACUCCGUGCCAGCAGCCGCGGUAAUACGGAGGGUGCGAGCGUUAAUCGGAAUAACUGGGCGUAAAGGGCACGCAGGCGGUUAUUUAAGUGAGGUGUGAAAGCCCCGGGCUUAACCUGGGAAUUGCAUUUCAGACUGGGUAACUAGAGUACUUUAGGGAGGGGUAGAAUUCCACGUGUAGCGGUGAAAUGCGUAGAGAUGUGGAGGAAUACCGAAGGCGAAGGCAGCCCCUUGGGAAUGUACUGACGCUCAUGUGCGAAAGCGUGGGGAGCAAACAGGAUUAGAUACCCUGGUAGUCCACGCUGUAAACGCUGUCGAUUUGGGGGUUGGGGUUUAACUCUGGCGCCCGUAGCUAACGUGAUAAAUCGACCGCCCGGGGAGUACGGCCGCAAGGUUA
rnacentral:rRNA from 1 species